rnacentral:pre_miRNA from 1 species
UUCAUACUCCCUCCGUCCCAAAAUUCUUGUUUUAAAUUUGUCUAGAUACGGAUGUAUCUAACACUAAAAUGUAACUAGAUACAUCCAUAUUUAGACAAAUCUAAGACAAGAAUUUUGGGACGGAGGGAGUAUAUG